GGUUCCAUAGUGUAGGGGUUAGCACGUCUGCUUUACACGCAGAAGGUCCUGGGUUUGUGCCCCAGUGGAGCCA
rnacentral:tRNA from 1 species